AAAGAAAGCCAGAAAAUUACAGGAUCGAGUUAAAAAUAAUUUUAAGGAAGGUUCGAAACUGAUAAAACCAAAUUCAAAACGUUUUGGCUUCAUUCCUCCACCGC